rnacentral:sRNA from 1 species
AGCGAAUGUAGCCAAGAGAGACGAGCAAUGCACCGGGUUGUUACAGUGUUCUGCUUUACUUUCGAAAAUGGAAACCUCCAGCCUUGGUCCCUUGCAGGAUGAAGAACAAUACAAACAGCUAUGCCAGAAGAACGGUGAACUACAAAAGUGUUUUGACGACAA